UACAGAGGUCUCAAGCGUUGUUCGGAUUCAUUGGGCGUAAAGGGUGCGUAGGCGGCGUGGUAAGUCGGGUGUGAAAUUUCGGAGCUUAACUCCGAAACUGCAUUCGAUACUGCGGUGCUUGAGGACUGGAGAGGAGACUGGAAUUCAUGGUGUAGCAGUGAAAUGCGUAGAGAUCAUGAGGAAGACCAGUGGCGAAGGCGGGUCUCUGGACAGUUCCUGACACUGAGACACGAAGGCCAGGGGAGCAAACGGG
rnacentral:rRNA from 1 species